rnacentral:lncRNA from 1 species
CAGUCACUGACAGAGCCCUGAAAUUAGGAAAAGAGCCAGUGGGCUGUCUUGGAGGUGGCCAGGAAGAGAGGAAUGGAAGAUACUGGUCCCACUGAAGCCAAAUUGAGAAAGGUCCAGGGAAGAGAAGUGCAUUUUCUCAAGGUGCAGCCUUGGGCACAGGGUCUCCUUCUUGGAAACUCACACAGGCAGAUGACUUGUGGUUUCACUGAGUCAAAGGGACAACUGUGGAUGUCAAGGGAAGGCCACUCACACCCCAGUCCUCCACUGCUUUAUACCCACCUGGGUGCAACACGUGUGGUGAGCAAGUCUUGCAAGAGACAACACAGGGAAUGCAGGUUGAGAGCACCAAGGCUGGCAGUAUGGUCACCUGUCUCGGAAGACCAUGGGUGUGGUGUUGAAGAGGAAGAACACUGA